GGGGGGGGGGUUAUCUGGGCCUUGCAUUGACUUAUUCUAUUUUGCAUACAUUUAUGCACUAAUCCUAGGGAGCCUCCACACUGCUUAUGGUUACUAUACAUUGUUGUUAUUUGUUGGUAUGGGUUACAGUUGACUGGGAUAAGAUAUUUACUUACAAGUUUACUGUCCUUUAUUUGAUUCAUACAUGAAGACACACACACAUUUACACAAACACACACAGUCAAUUAAUUCUUUAUUGUUGUAGUCCAAAUUUUGAGUUGAAAUAAAAACAUAUUUACAUG